GAAAUCAUACUAUACAGAAUCAUUUCUGUAGUGUGUGUUUCGCUGUCCCAACCAAAGGGCGACACCUGUCCACCGCGAUGAACGGGAGACGGGCGAGUUGCGNAGCGGGAAGAACGCGCCCGUGCGCUGUGGACCGUGAGGUGCCCUUCGGGGAGCCUCAGCGACUCGCUCUUCUGAGCGGU
rnacentral:snoRNA from 1 species